rnacentral:rRNA from 1 species
UACGUAGGGUGCAAGCGUUGUCCGGAAUUAUUGGGCGUAAAGAGUUCGUAGGCGGCUUUGUCGCGUCUGUUGUGAAAGCUUGGGGCUCAACCCCAAGUCUGCAGUGGAUACGGGCAGACUAGAGUGUGGUAGGGGGAGACUGGAAUUCCUGGUGUAGCGGUGGAAUGCGCAGAUAUCAGAAGGAACAUCAGUGGCGAAGGCGGCUUCCUGGACCAAUACUGACGAUCAGGUGCG